rnacentral:rRNA from 1 species
UACGGAGGGUGCAAGCAUUAAUCGGAUUUAUUGGGCGUAAAGGGCGCGUAGGCUGGUCUUUUAAGUCAGAUGUGAAAUCCCGAGGCUCAACCUCGGAACAGCAUUUGAAACUGAAGAUCUAGAGGGUAGAAGGAGAGAAUGGAAUUCCACAAGUAGCGGUGAAAUGCGUAGAUAUGUGGAAGAACACCGGUGGCGAAGGCGAUUCUCUAUUUUAUUCCUGACGCUGAGGCGCGAAGUAAGGGGAUCAAACAGG